CCUACGGGUGGCAGCAGUGGGGGAUAUUGCACAAUGGGGGGAACCCUGAUGCAGCGACGCCGCGUGUGGGAAGACGGUCCUCUGGAUUGUAAACCACUGUCCCCAGGGACGAAAAUGACGGUACCUGGGGAGGAAGCUCCGGCUAACUACGUGCCAGCAGCCGCGGUAAUACGUAGGGAGCGAGGGUUGUCCGGAAUUACUGGGGGAAAAGGGAGCGUAGGCGGGGAGGCAAGUUGAGUGUCAAAACUACCGGCUAAACUGGUAGUCGCACUCAAAACUGCAGCUCUUGAGUGAAGUAGAGGCAGGCGGAAUUCCUAGUGUAGCGGUGAAAUGCGUAGAUAUUAGGAGGAACACCAGUGGCGAAGGCGGCCUGCUGGGCUUUUACUGACGCUGAGGCUCGAAAGUGUGGGGAGCAAACAGGAUUAGAUACCCUUGUAGUC
rnacentral:rRNA from 1 species